AGUGAACGCUGGCGGUAGGCCUAACACAUGCAAGUCGAACGGCAGCACAGUAAGAGCUUGCUCUUACGGGUGGCGAGUGGCGGACGGGUGAGGAAUACAUCGGAAUCUACUUUUUCGUGGGGGAUAACGUAGGGAAACUUACACUAAUACCGCAUACGACCUACGGGUGAAAGCAGGGGAUCUUCGGACCUUGCGCGAUUGAAUGAGCCGAUGUCGGAUAGCUAGUUGGCGGGGUAAAGGCCCACCAAGGCGAUGAUCCGUAGCUGGUCUGAGAGGAUGAUCAGCCACACUGGAACUGAGACACGGUCCAGACUCCUACGGGAGGCAGCAGUGGGGAAUAUUGGACAAUGGGCGCAAGCCUGAUCCAGCCAUACCGCGUGGGUGAAGAAGGCCUUCGGGUUGUAAAGCCCUUUUGUUGGGAAAGAAAAGCAGCAGGUUAAUACCCCGCUGUUCUGACGGUACCCAAAGAAUAAGCACCGGCUAACUUCGUG
rnacentral:rRNA from 1 species